UACGUAGGGUGCGAGCGUUGUCCGGAAUUAUUGGGCGUAAAGAGCUCGUAGGCGGUGUGUCACGUCGUUCGUGAAAACCUGCAGCUUAACUGUGGGCGUGCGGUCGAUACGGGCAUCACUGGAGUUCGGCAGGGGAGACUGGAAUUCCUGGUGUAGCGGUGAAAUGCGCAGAUAUCAGGAGGAACACCGGUGGCGAAGGCGGGUCUCUGGGCCGAUACUGACGCUGAGGAGCGAAAACGUGGGGAGCAAACAGG
rnacentral:rRNA from 1 species